rnacentral:misc_RNA from 1 species
GUCGAUGUACUUGAUAAUUCUGAGAGACAGGCGCAUGACUCUGAAUCUCCUCAGGAAAUGAGGAUGAAGACGCAGAUUGCCUCUGUCCAUAUCCUUCAUAAUUCUGAGAGGCAGAGGGAGCUGCAGAUUGCCUCUGUCCAUAUCGUUGAUUCUCCCUCGGAAAUGAGGAUUGGCUACCAGUGCUUAGAUGUAAAGAUGAAGGCGCAGA